CCUACGGGAGGCUGCAGUGGGGAAUAUUGGACAAUGGGGGCAACCCUGAUCCAGCCAUGCCGCGUGUGUGAAGAAGGCCCUCGGGUUGUAAAGCACUUUCAGUGAGGAAGAACGCCUGGUGGUUAAUACCCAUCAGGAAAGACAUCACUCACAGAAGAAGCACCGGCUAACUCCGUGCCAGCAGCCGCGGUAAUACGGAGGGUGCGAGCGUUAAUCGGAAUUACUGGGCGUAAAGCGCGCGUAGGUGGCUUGAUAAGCCGGAUGUGAAAGCCCCGGGCUCAACCUGGGAACGGCAUCCGGAACGGUCCAGCUAGAGUGCAGGAGAGGAAGGUAGAAUUCCCGGUGUAGCGGUGAAAUGCGUAGAGAUCGGGAGGAAUACCAGUGGCGAAGGCGGCCUUCUGGACUGACACUGACACUGAGGUGCGAAAGCGUGGGUAGCAAACAGGAUUAGAAACCCGAGUAGUC
rnacentral:rRNA from 1 species